AGUGAACGCUGGCGGUAGGCCUAACACAUGCAAGUCGAACGGCAGCACAGUAAGAGCUUGCUCUUACGGGUGGCGAGUGGCGGACGGGUGAGGAAUACAUCGGAAUCUACUUUUUCGUGGGGGAUAACGUAGGGAAACUUACGCUAAUACCGCAUACGACCUACGGGUGAAAGCAGGGGAUCUUCGGACCUUGCGCGAUUGAAUGAGCCGAUGUCGGAUUAGCUAGUUGGCGGGGUAAAGGCCCACCAAGGCGACGAUCCGUAGCUGGUCUGUGAGGAUGGUAGCCCGCAUUGGAGCUGAGACACGGACCAGAGUACUACGGGAGGGAGCAGUGUGGAAUAUGGGACAAUGGGCGCAAGCAUGAUCCAGUGAGACCGCGUGGGUGAAGAAGGCCUUCGGGUUGUAAAGCCCUUUUGUUGGGAAAGAACAGCUGCAGGUUAUUACCACGCGGUUCUGACGGUACCGAAUGAAUAAGCACCGGCUAACUUCGUG
rnacentral:rRNA from 1 species